UACAGAGGUCCCAAGCGUUGUUCGGAUUCACUGGGCGUAAAGGGUGCGUAGGCGGUUGGGGUAAGUCUGAUGUGAAAUCUCACAGCUUAACUGUGAAACUGCAUUGGAUACUAUCCGGCUAGAGGAAUGGAGGGGAGACUGGAAUACUUGGUGUAGCAGUGAAAUGCGUAGAUAUCAAGUGGAACACCAGUGGCGAAGGCGAGUCUCUGGGACAUUUUCCUGACGCUGAGGCACGAAAGCCAGGGGAGCAAACUGGG
rnacentral:rRNA from 1 species